GACGAACGCUGGCGGCGUGCUUAACACAUGCAAGUCGAACGGCAAGGCCCUGCUUUUGUGGGGUGCUCGAGUGGCGAACGGGUGCGUAACACGUGAGUAACCUGCCCUUGACUUUGGGAUAACUUCAGGAAACUGGGGCUACUACCGGAUAGGAGCUCCUGUUGCAUGGUGGGGGUUGGAAAGUUUCGGCGGUCGGGGAUGGACGCGCGGCUUACCAGCUUGUUGGUGGGGUAGUGGCUUACCAAGGCUUUGACGGGUAGCCGGCCUGAGAGGGUGACCGGCCACAAUGGGACUGAGAGACGGCCCAGACUCCUACGGGAGGCAGCAGUGGGGAAUAUUGCACAAUGGGCGGAAGCCUGAUGCAGCAACGCCGCGGGCGGGAUGACGGCCUUCGGGUUGUAAACCGCUUUCGCCUGUGACGAAGCGUGAGUGACGGUAAUGGGUAAAGAAGCACCGGCUAACUACGUG
rnacentral:rRNA from 1 species